UGAAAAGCGAUGAACGGAAAAAAGUCAUGUUUCUGAGAUAACAGAGAGCCGGUGGCAGGUGGAAACCGGUAUGAAGGAUAUGUCGAACUCUUCCGCAAGCUCCUCGUUGAAUCAAGUAGAUGGAGGCGUCAUCCACGUUACGGACAGGAGCCAUAAGUAUAAUGCAGGGUGGUACCGCGAUGAAUUCGCCCCUGUC
rnacentral:ncRNA from 1 species